GUGCUGAGUGUUGUACGUUUUUUGACCCCCAUGGUUUUUAUCCACAUGUGGACUACAAUAAAGUUUGGAUUUUAUUUUACUUCAUUCUUUGACCCUGGAUUUCUUUCUACUUAUUACUACAUUACGCCAGUAUCUGGGGUCCUUAGGCUCGAAAGCCUCUCACUUAGCAGGCUUAGUUUAGAUUUGCCUGCCCCUACAGCCCUGAUUACGUCUGCAUACUACCAACUGAAGACAAGACAAGGGACACACUGAUUGGACACCGCAUAUCACGUGACCGGCUGUGCACACGUCAUCGGACGCGCACAGUGUGAAUAGAGAAACAAACUGAAUCGGCACAUUACAGAGGACUCUACAAGAAGCGGUGAGCUAAGAGGAUCUACUUGAGCACACGGAGCAGGACGGAUAGUGACAACGCAGCAUCGCAUUUGAUGCAAUAUAAAUGAUGAUGCAUCAUACGUGCCACAUCAACACGUUUCUGAGAAUCUGGAGGUUGAGGAAGAUGAUGGGUCUGGCAUGCAACAGGAACAAGAUGGAGAUCUAGAUGUUGCUGAGGAGGAAUUAACAUCAAUAGAACAAGAAGUUGAUGAGGAAGAAGUUGCUGAUGAUGAUGGUGACAAUGAUGAUGAGGAUGGUGAACAUGGAUAUGAACAUAUACCAGUGGAUAAAACCAUCACUGUGAAUAAAAGGGAAGUGCUGAAAUUAUUGAGGUUCUUGAGACAGCAGUAUAAGCAGUAGAAGAGAGUGC